AGCGAACGCUGGCGGCAGGCCUAACACAUGCAAGUCGAACGAACUCUUCGGAGUUAGUGGCGGACGGGUGAGUAACACGUGGGAACGUGCCUUUAGGUUCGGAAUAACUCAGGGAAACUUGUGCUAAUACCGAAUGUGCCCUUCGGGGGAAAGAUUUAUCGCCUUUAGAGCGGCCCGCGUCUGAUUAGCUAGUUGGUGAGGUAAUGGCUCACCAAGGCUACGAUCUGUAGCUGGUCUGAGAGGAUGAUCAGCCACAUUGGGACUGAGACACGGCCCAAACUCCUACGGGAGGCAGCAGUGGGGAAUCUUGCGCAAUGGGCGAAAGCCUGACGCAGCCAUGCCGCGUGGAUGAUGAAGGUCUUAGGAUUGUAAAAUCCUUUCACCGGUGAAGAUAAUGACUGUAGCCGGAGAAGAAGCCCCGGCUAACUUCGUGCCAGCCGCCGCCGUAAUAC
rnacentral:rRNA from 1 species